rnacentral:rRNA from 1 species
UGGGGAAUAUUGCACAAUGGGGGAAAUCCUGAUGCAGCGACGCCGCGUGAACGAAGAAGGUAUUCGUAUCGUAAAGUUUUGUCCUAUGGGAAGAUAAUGACAGUACCAUAGAAGAAAGCUCCGGCUAAAUACGCGCCAGCAGCCGCGGUAAUACGUAUGGAGCGAGCGUUGUCCGGAAUUAUUGGGCGUAAAGGGUACGCAGGCGGUUUAAUAAGUCGAAUGUUAAAGAUCGGGGCUCAACCCCGCAAAGCAUUGGAAACUGAUAAACUUGAGUAGUGGAGAGGAAAGUGGAAUUCCUAGUGUAGUAGUGAAAUACGUAGAUAUUAGGAGGAGUACCAGUAGCGAAGGCGACUUUCUGGACACAAACUGACGCUGAGGUACGAAAGCGUGGGGAGCAAACAAG